AAAAAAUUAAAAAAUGGUCUAGAUUUAGGAAGUUGAAAACACAGAGAAGAACUGAAAGAACUCAGGUUAGGAGGGACAUGUGGAAAGAAGGUAAUUUGCUUCUCAUUGAAGACAAGGAAGGAGAGACACUUGGAAUAAUGCUGCAUUUAGUAAAACUGAAGAAGUUAAACAUUUAGAGGUGGAAUAAGAUGAUGACAUCUGAAAAAUUGUUGCCAGAUAAAUGCAUUCCCAAAUGUUCAGUGCAAGGGACUUAGGUAAACAUUUAUUAUAAGAGGAUAGGAGUGAUAGAAGGUCCAAUAAACAAACAGGGGUUUUUUUAAUUUACUGUUUCUUUCCAUGGUGAAAUAACCAAAGGAGUGUCGCGAACUAGCAAGGAAAUCACAUAUACAACACAAUUUAUUUUGAAUAGGAACAUUAGUAGAUUGAUCUUGAAGAAUUUAAUAGCUGAAUUAUACUGAUGUUGAGUUUUCUUCUUCUGGUUGCAAACAAGAAGUUACACUUGAUUGCCAUAUGUAAAAGAAGCUUGGACGAGCAUUAAUCUGACCUGUGACAUAUUUUAGAGGCUAAUUUUUGUCUUGACUUUAUUGAAGCUACUUCAGAUGUGCUUCUUCCUGAUAGAAACUAAUAACAGUGAGAAAACAUCAAUACUGACUGUUGCCCUUCUGGACUUUAUAUUGUAACUAAAACAUUCACUUAAAUGCAGUUAGAUGGAGUCCCUUUGGAUCACCUCAGAAGAAAACACUAAGAGCUUGCCCUCACCUUGCUAGUGACAAUUUUCCCAGUCUAUCUAUCACAAGUGCUUCAAUUUUGACAAGAUGUAUAUACUACCUCUGCAAAAUAUAUCAAUGGAUUUGAAUUUGCUAUGGCUUAAACCUUCUUAAAAAAAUCCUUAUAGCAUCUGUCUGUUUCAUAAAAGGCAAGCUGACAGACAAAUACUGACUGCAGCCUGGUAAAAGACCUGCACAUUUUGCUGAUACUGAAAAAAUUAACUUUAUCCAAUGAUCUUCAGCAUUAAACCCGCAUCAACUUUAUGUGUUUCAAUUCAGCUUCUGUCAGUAUACUUGAAGCAAAAAUCCAUUGCUAAGUCUGCAAAAAUAGCAAUAUUUUUAGUGUCUUAUUCAAGUGACUGCAUAGUAUAAAACAUCUAAUUCUUAGUACGGAUCCUGUUUUCUGUCACUGGCCACUGGGCAAACGUAGAUAAAUCUCUAAUCUUUCCAUUGUCAGUUUCAGCUGAGCCAUACAAUAUUGUGAUGGUGCUAGUCUUUUUUUUCAAACAUGAAGAACUUUAUUCAGAAACACAUCAUAUAAAAGUUGUAUAUGUACCACAUGCACAAAAACCGCUACAGCAACCGUGUGUGAAAAAAACCUCUCGUAAUUCCCUGUUCUCCCCAUUUUCAAGCCUUUCUUUUUACUGUUAGUAAAAGUUAUCUCCAUGGUGAUCUAAAUUCUCUGGGGCAGCAUGCAUUGUGCUCCUCUCUGUAAAACUGGACAUUUUGCAGUGGGUCAUUAAAAAUACUACAAACAGCAUAUCCAUUUCUCCUACCUUCAAGUUCUGUAAAUUCUGCUCCAGAAUUAUUAGCCAUGGUAUGGUGAUUAAGAUUAUUACUUAAACCAGGGAAUCCUGAGCCUUGAGUGACAAGAUAAUUGUUCCAAAAGAACAAGAAAUUCUUAUAUAAGAAAAUAUAAAGAUACAGUGUGAUUGGCUCAUCUCCACAUUAGUGUUAAUUAAAAAUUUAAUUACCAUACACAAAAAUAUUAGAUAAAUCCCUAUAUAAUGUUAUAGGUUUUAGAAUGAGCAUAUAUGAGCUGCUGUGCUUCCAAGUAUCUGUUUCUCACAAAAAAGAAAGAAUGUGUUUGUUAAUUGAUGUCUGCUGAAAGAUGAUAGAGUUAGGGAAAAAGAUAACCACAUCUGUUCCAGAGCAAGUGCAAGUAUACAAUGCUUCAUGAAUGGAAGAGGUGUUGAGCAUGCAAGAGAAUGGACUGGGAAUUCUGUGUUUGCUGUUAGCUUGAUGAUAAACUUGCAUCUUCCUGAUUUCUCCUUGAAUAACAACAGUGCAAGGAGAAUAAGAAAAGGAAACAACAAGGUAAAAGGGUAUCAAAAUUUCAUUGAUUGCGCUUUUAAAUGUUAAUGACUCAUUUUUUUCUGCAUCCUUAUAUUUUUGUAGCAAUUUUAGUAGUAGUAGUAGUAGUGUUCUCUCUCACAGUGUUUCCCAAAGAUUGGGAAAGCCAAAAAGCAUAGAUAUUAUAAACUGAAUUUGCAAAUGCAUUUCUAUUCCUAAAGACAGAGAGACACUUUGGGUGGGCUUUCCAAACUUGUAAUAAUGGUUUGUAUCAGGUGUGUAAUGGAGUGUGAUAAAAGUUAUUACAACUACUGUAAUGUCCAGCUGCCUUUCUAGACAUGCUGGAAAUUAUCCCAAGGUUUAAAAAUUGAUUGGAACAUAUGGAUGAAAAAUGAUUAAACUAAUGGAAGUUAUUUUGAAACUGAAAACCAAGCAAGGCCCAAAACCCCCUACCAGUGUGUUGUACCCGUAGAGAUACAAUCUGAACAGAGCUCACUCCUGUAUUAGACAAUGUUGUUUUGUAGGAGGUGAAGAUCAUCUCAGCUCCUGCUGUGAUGCACCCAUGACUGCAAAUCUGCUGUGAAGUUGAAAACAAAGAUCUGAGAGGUACAGGUAUUUUAUUGAUGUUAUUAAUACACAAAGGUGACUGCACAGUCUUAGGCCACAGCUCACGGGCAGUCAGGACUCACAGAUGUCUGGAUGUCUACCUAUGGUUUGAGAAUUCAGGUUGAUUUUUUAGGCUGCUUCACUGUUAGAAACUUGGACGUCAUCCAAAUUGAGUCUCUCUCCUAAGUGAAAGACUUGUUUAAGUUCAUCCUGUUUCUGAGAGAUAUUUUACUAACGUUUCUGAGCACAUGAUUCUAUGAACAUAUGUCUUCUUUGUAGAGUUGUUUUCCUUCACAAACCUUAUUUGUAUGGAAAUACAUGAUACUUGAGGGCUGGGGGGAAGCUAACCAGUAUUAAACAGAUACUGUUCACAGUGUACCAAAAUCAUAGCAGUAUUUUCCUGAGUACUGGUUUAGCCAAAACACAAUUAAAAUAGAGCAAAUAACACGUUUGAAGAUAGAGUAACAGACGGAAUCUACAGCUUCUUAUACACCAGUCAUUCAACUGAGCUCCAAUCUACAGACUAUCAUCUAAAUAAAAAAUUCUAAAAAAUGGCAAAAUAGUGUAAAAAAAGAGAUAAAAGCAUUUGGAUUAAAUAGCAAACAUUUUGAAAGAUAAAGAUGGCAAUGAUUCCAGCAUCCAGAGUAUAAUAUACCAACUAGGGACUUUGGCUGUAGUAACAGAAAGACUGAUGGGAAAAUGGUUCAGAAGCUGAAAAAGAAUGCUUGCAGCAAAACUCUGACAAAUGAAAUAAUGGAAAAGCAAAGAUCUAAGAGAGAAAAGGUGUCAGGUUAAAAUAGCUUUCUUUUAACACUUGGAAAUCAUUAUUUUGUAUAUGUAGGCUCUGAUACGGCAUUAAGUAUUACUUCUGUUAUUAAUGUCACAGACUGUCCUAUUAAGACAAACUUCAUUGGACAGCUCAGAAAUUCUCCAUCUAUGGUACUACAGUACUGGAGAAUAUGACACCUGAACAUGGGGCAAAGUGCAAACUUAAUCCUUCAAAGAUAAUUUAAAAUCUAUAUAAUGUCCUACCAUAUUUAUUAGUGAAAAAGAAAAAAGUACAGUUAAAAGUACAGUACAGUUAUUAAUACAUUUCCCAUAAAUGUUUGAAAAAUUGACAGAAUUUAAAAAUGUGCAUCAAAUAAGGUGUGUUACAUUGGAAACUGUAAGCAAAUUCAUGUGGAAUUAGGAAAGAAGUAUCUGACUUCCAAUACACAUUUGCAGGCUGCAGAACUGACUGAAUAUCUACUCAUGAUGCAAAACAUGAAUGGCAUCAUUUUCAGACUGGAUUUAGAACAUCCCUGAAAAUGGUAAUCAGAAUAGUGACAUUCACAAAAUGCUUAUAGCUUUAUUGAAUAUACUAUGAGAAGAUGCCUCUGUAAACAUGUGAAAUACCUCUAUUGGAGUGUUUAAUUUCUUUUUUCCUUUGCUUUUGAAAGUAUUUAAUUAUUCUUGCUUUUAGCAUUUUGCUUUUCAAAAUGCUGCUGCAACAAGUUUUUUUAUCUAUCUCUUAAGGGUGUUUUCUGCAUCAAGGUCCUUUUCAGAUAUCUGGAUAACAAAAAUACUGUGAUACAUACUUGAUUCUCAUGAAGCUAGUCACACUAAAGCAAGCCUUUUGCACAGUGUGAAGAGUUUAUAGGUAUUGUGGGGGAAUUCAGCAAGGACUGGUGGUGACCAAAUAUGAGUUUUUAUAAAACCUGAUGCUAUACCUGAAUAAUUUUCAUCAGUUGUUUAAAAGAUAAUAUAAAUUUGCAGAAGGAAAAAAAAAUGUAUGGCAGAAAGGUUUUUCAGAAUUAUAAACAAGAAAGUUCUGGUUUUCCAGGAGAAGGUUAAGUCUGGCUAAUAAACAGUUAGUGAAAAAAAUUCUUUAUAUAUGUGCAAAAUUUCUUUUGUUUGAGUGUGCAGUGUGCGAUAUCUGUGGAAGCAGAGACUGUAUACAGAAAAUGGUGAGUCUGAAAAUAGUCUAAGGGUCUACUUCAUAUUCAGCACAGUGGGUUCUUCAGAUGAACUGCUGUGAACUGCUGACAAAAUAGUGCCACAUGCAGAAGAACACUGGAGUUUAGGAACAGACCUUGUUUCCAAGUAAGGCGUCCUGUGUAACGAAAUGUUGUUCAGGUAGCUGUAUGUUAACAGAAACAGAAAAAGAGAAGGGAUGCAAAAGCCUUGAAAGCUCUCAGUAUGCUGAAACACUUUUAUAUGUCCAUUUGUAUGAAAAUGUAACUUGUUGGUAAGUGUUAGAAAAAGAAUAACCAGCCUCAUAAUAAGAAUAUACAGGGCUUGUAAGGACCCUUGAUCAAUCAGAAAAUCAAUGCUUCAUUGAUAACCCUUUCAAAUUAGACUUGAAGAACAACUUUAUUAAAGUAAUGAUAAUUAACCUUGGAAACAAAAUAUCAAAAGAAAUAUUGAAUUACAUUUCUUGCAAAUUCAGGUCAAACUGGAAUCUCUUACAGAUUUAUACUUUGGACAAAAUGUGAUGGAGUCAGUAGAGGGAUAACUGAGGGAAAUUGAAAGUCUCUGAAACAUUGGGUGUGAGAUUGGAUGAACUAUAGGUCUUUAUUGAUCUUCAGCUCAGUAAAUUUUUUAUAACACACAUCUUGUUUGUGAGAGCCCAAAGGAGAUUGCUUUAUCUUGUUAGCAUAUUGUCACAGACAAAUAGAGACGUUAUAUCACAUUUUAGGAGUUCAGUUCUUCAAGGACUCAUUUUCUCCCAGUUUGGCAAUGUUUUUCCUUGUUUCAUUGAUUUUAACAAGCUGAAAAUGUCACAGGCAUUUUCUGCAAAUAUCACCAAAUGUUUUGUGUGUGCCACUGUUUCCAUAAUAAUUUAGACUGGAUAGUCUUCAUCCUUCUAAAUUCAGGUGGAGGGGGAGGGGAUGGGAAGGAAGAGCUGGAAGAGAGAAAGAGAGAGAAGCAAAAUAUUUAAUCUUAGAUUUUUUUUUGCAAUUAUUUUCCUUGCUGAGGUGUAUCUCUGUGAACAGUCAGCAGAUAUAAAGAAUACUUUACAUGCAGUUGUGCAGUUUGACUCCCAUAAUUCUUAUUUCUGUGUGAAAGGUUUUGUGUCACUAUGAAAUGUUAUUUAUUGAUUAUACUGAUUUUACUGACAGUGAAUCCAGACCCGUUUAAUAUUUCAGGGUAAGAAUAAGCUGUAUGUGAAAUCAUAUUCUUAGCUUUUCUAUUUUGAUAGUUUCUUUUGAGUCCCUAAGUAGGGAGUUGGUUUUUAACAUCUAAUUAAUUUACAUAAUUCCUUUAUUACCAGAAAAAAAGACUAGGGGACACACCAAAGGAGAAGCUAAUGAGCAAGCAAUGAAAUGGACUGAAGACAUUUAAUUACUGUUGCCUAUGUUUUUUCUGUGUUUAAACCCAUGUGAAUCCUUGAAAAACCUCAAACGGGAAUUCAAGCAUGUAAGAAGCAAUGGCCACAGGAGUGCUUCCUGUGCUGGCUGAACUUGCUCUUGCUGUCGUUUCACUCUGCAGCCUCUCUCAUGGUUAUUGCCCCUGUGCAUGUGGGCAUAAAGAAUUAUAUCUUACAUUCCCCCUCUCCAUUUUGUCAUCUUCUCCUCUGUAGAAUAUUGUUUUAAUCCUCUCUCUCUGUCCUCUUUUUUUUUGGAUUUAGACUUUGUGUUAUUACAAAACUACUGGAGGUUUGCCUAAAUCAUCUGAAUGCACUCCUCUAUCAACAAAACUCACUUGAUGAAAAAUUGCAAGGGUAAUUUGGUAGAAGCAAGAGACUUGAUCUCACACUUAUUUUCUUAAUUCUAACCAAGCUCCACUCGUCCCUCUAGAGUUGUAUCCACUUUGUAAAAUUAUCUUCUUCAGAAUUAUGUAUGUCUUCAGACUGAGACUUAUUCAGGUCAUCACAUGAAUCCUGCAACACAAUGUAAUAAAAUCUUAUGUGAUUGAUCUUUAAUAAAGACAUUUGAGAUGACAAAAUUGUGUAGGACAAGCAGAUGACCAGACAGAAAAGGUGAUGCAACUUUGGUAAUUAUCCAAAUGAAAAUAAGAUUUUCACUUACACAAGUUUUCUUUGAGAUACUUGCCGAAUUGAACUUAAAAUCUUAAGAUGAACAUGCACUUCAUUAUUAUUUUUUAUAGCAGCUCCCUUCAAAGCAUCAGAAACCAGUUUGCAAAGACAGAAACCAGCAGAGACAGUACAGUGGGCAAUGUCAGUCUCAUCUGUUACAAAUGCACAGAAAAAAAAUCAAAACAGCAAUGAUACAAGAACACAACAGCAAUGACACAAGUAGUGGUUUACAGGGAUGUUAUAGUUUUUCCAGUGAUAAGUAAGACGUUAUUACUUGGGCAUCAAGCAUUCACUGGGAUGGCAACACCUACACCAGAUGCUGACUAUAAGAAUUUAGACCAAAAUUGACAAAUUUAUAAGAACACAUUUUCAUUCAAGCUCUUUCACAGUGAGCAGCAGCAACCUUUAAAGGAAUUCUGGAGCAAUAGACGAAAGUUCUUAAAAUCUCUGUAACUGUGCCAUGUGGUUCUUCAGGGGCAAAAGGGAUGAAUAUGUAGGAUUAUGUGGUUAAAAUGGAAAUGGGGUGUGGGACGGGAAUAUUAUUUGCUACACUAAUUUUCUGCAUCUCUAGCGCAGAUGAAAAUGCAUAGAUCAAAUUACAGAAGAAUAGGGAAGGCUAGACUGUGGAUACCUUAGCUGAAUACCUUUACAGUUCAGCAGCCAAAACAAAAAAAAAGAACUGUUGUAUGAAAUUGCGAUGGCACUCAUACAUUUUUUUUUAGGUAAUCAUAAACAACAUGAUUUUGUGCCAUUCACAGGGCAACACAAAUGAGGCCUGUGAAACUAAAAAACUGCCCAGAACUGGAUGCAGAACUCGAGGUAUGGCCUCAACAGUGACAAGUGCAAAAGGACAAUCACUGCCCUGGUCCUGCUGACGACACUAUUGCUGUUACAGGUCAGGAUGCCAUUGGCCUGCUAGGCACACCCCUGGCUCAUAUUCAAGCACUGUUGACCAGCUCCAAUGGGUCCUUUUCUGCCCCCAGCCUGCAGCUGUGCAUGGGGUUGUUGUGACUCAAGUGUAGAAUCCAGCACAGAACUUUAGCCAAUUGAUCCAGCCUUUCUAGAGCCUUCAGAAGAGCUUUCCAGUCCACCAGCAGAUUCACAUUCUCACAAAACAUGGUGUCAUUCAUGAGCCUUGAGAUUGUGCACUCAAUCUUCUUAUCCAGAUCAUCAAUAAAGAUAUUAAACAUUACUCGUCCCAGUGCUGAUCCCUGGGAGACACCAUUGGUGAGUGGACCCCGCCUGGAUGCAGCCCCGUUCACCUCCACUCUCCGGGCCUGGCUGUACAGCCAGUUUCUAACUCCAGCAAAGAGUGCUCCUGUCCAAAAGCCAGCUUUUGCAGGAAAAGGCUGCCAGCUUUUCCAGGAAAGUUCUGUGGGAGAUGGUGUCAAAAGUUUUGCUGAACUCCCAGUAGACAACACCCAAGGCCUUGCCUUCAGCCACUAGGUGGGCUACCUGGCCAUAGAAACAGAUCAAGGUCAGGCAGGAGCUGCUUUUCCUGAUCACAAGCUAACUCCUUGGUUGUCCUGUAUGUGCCCCAUGAUGGUACUCAAGAUGAUCUCUUUCAUGACCUUUUCAGGUAUCAAAGUCAGGUUGACAGGCCUGUGUAGUUCCCCAGAUCUUCCUUACAACCCUCCUUGUAGUGGCACAUCACAUUGGCCAACUUCCAUUUGUCUGGGACCCAGCUAGCCAGGACUGGGAUAAGCCUGAUCUCUGUGACUGAGACCGCCAUGGACACAGACAUCAGCCCUGACCACAUGGACUAGCUCCAUGGAACUGCAUGUAAACAGGUGAUUUCAGAUAUCAGUACUAAGGACAGUUUUGUGUGAUGAUUAUGAUCAAUGAUAUGUAAGCAUGAUCGCCAUGUGUGGUGUUUGCAAUUUCUGACUCUUUGAUGAAUAAAUACAUAUAUAUUUAGUAACCAAAAUGCUUACUUUGAAAUCAGAACAAUGAAUACCACAUAAAUUGAUAAUUAAAUUAACAUAAUUGGGCCAUGAGAAACUUAUAGUUAAAAGACUUCAGGUGCCUGUAGAAGAGAGGCCAAAUGGCUGCAUCUCCAUUCACAGAACACGAAGCCAGAACUACAGAUAAAUCUGCAUGACUCUCACAGGCAGCAUUUGCUACACAUUCACAGCUUUUGAUUUCUAUGUCAGCCACAUAAAUACACAUUUUAUCAUGUCUGUAUGUCCUGCCCAAACUUGUCUUCCAAGUGCAAAACAGAGAUUAUACUGAAGGGUCCUUAGAUUAAUAUUAACCUAUAAACCUUAUUCAGUCACUGAAUAAGUUUUUUUAUUAAUAUAGGCAUAGGUUAAUAUAAUCUGCUUACCUUUUAUAAGAAGCUUUUUAUAUGAGCUGAGAAGGUUGAAAUGGCAGGGGUAUAAAUGAGAGCUGAAACAUUCACAUUCAGAAAGAAAUGCCUGGAAAACCUUGUGACACUGGCCAUGGGCUAGAGUGACAAAUAGGCAAAUAAAAGUCCAAGAACACUGUCUAUUUCAGAACUUCAAGCAAAUAAAUCAAUAGUAACUUUCAUAAGGCUCUUGGUCAGCUUCAUUUCUUUUUUUUCCCUGUAAGUAAAGUUGAAUUUAUACAGCUUGUCUUCCCUGUUGGGAUUAUUUUACAUGUCCUGUAUUUGAGUAAAAUAACUCACAAAAUUUCAGAAUCCCUGAAGCAUUUUUAUUGUGUUUUACUUUGAAACCUUUCAGUGUUUUUCUCUAAUUCUACAUGGAUUCUCACCUGUUUCAGUUUUGACUGUCAUGGGUAAUACAUUUCAAGACAAGUAAUGGAAAAUUACAGAUUCUGAGUACAUAAAUCAAGCUCUCUGGAAAAAAAAGUAUCAUGGUACUCCCCCAAUUAUAUAAAGUGUUGUGAAACUUUCAGUUGUAAAAUGAAGGAAAAAAAAAUUGCUAACUUGUUGAGAAACUGAGUAAAAGCUUGAAGAUAGCACAUAUAAAUAAAAAUCACAGAAUCACAGAAUCUGUUGGAAGACACCUUCAAGAUCAUUGAGUUCAACCAAAUGACACAUUAGACUUCAGAUCCACAUUACUGAUUUUUGAAAUCUCUCUAAAUGUUUCUGAUAACAUAAAUCUUUCUCUUUGGAAAAUUUCAGACCCAGUGAAAAUCAUUCUUCUGUUUGUCAGGUGUUUUUCAGAUGAUUUCAAUGUGCUUGUCUAAAUGGCUUAGUAACAUAAGCUAUCUGGUUGAUUUCAACCAGACCAUACAGCUAGCAGAAUUGGGGCACCCACCCCCUUGAUUUUCAGAUUAUGGACAGAGAAACUCCCAGGGAUUCCAGAGAGCACUAUAGUUCUAGUGGGUCUCCCACUGAAAGUGGAGACAGAGUGUUAACUUAAAACAGGAGGAGUACUCUACUGGGAUGAUGCAAAUUAACAUUUUUUUCAUGUAAUACUAUAUCAGUUCAGAUUCCAACACACGCCGUGCCCCAGACUCUGGGAGUUUGCGAUCAACCUCCUGGAUGGUUCAUCUGCCUCUGAUUCAGAGAAAAGACUGGUUAAAGAAGGAUGAGAUUGACAACAGGUUCAGUGAUUUGACUCUAAUCCCCUUUUACACAUAAGUUUAACCUGUGAAGUUCAUUCGAGCAAAGAGAAAUGAUGACUUGGUGGAAAGAAAUUGGCAUAUUUAGCUGUGGUGCAGUACAGAAAACAUCCACAUUGUUAGGCACUACAAUUUCAAGGAACACCAGGAAUCUCCAUCAAAUUAAUUUAUUUUACUUCACAGCAUGAGAAAACUCUAAAUGAACAGAGUCUACUUUGCCUCAGUGAACUUGUAGUAACUUUUGAAAGCUAGUAGUAGUUGAAAGCCUUGUAGUAGUUUUUUAUUGAUGUUUGAAUAUUCCACUCUGUGCAGUUUUGGAAUAUUUCAUGAUAAGCUCUUGCUAAAACCUAAGUGACAGACAUUUAGCUGAUGUAAAUCCACAGGGCUUUAUUAGCUGGGAUUGAACUAUAUCUAUUUACAUCACUAGGCAUCUGGAUCAAAGGAAAACAUGUGCGUAAAGGGACCAACUAAAAUUUGUCUGAAAGUCCAAAGUUAAAUCAAGCUUGCAAAACAUUGGUGAGAACAGCAACAACAACAACGACAACAAAAAAGAGCAGUUCAAACCAUCUGGUAUACAGAAAGUAAGACACUAUAUAGAGAGACUUUCUAAAAACAAGUAAAAUCACUUACGAAUUAUUGAUUUAUUAUGUUAAAGUAACAAUUCUUACUUUCAGCCCAUCUUUUUGAUAAAAGACUUCUACAGCUGAAACCAAAACUGUUGGUUUCCUUCAGGUAGACUGAUCAGCUUUUAGGAUAUAAACCAGCCUAGCAGACAGGCAUUUAUGCCUGCUUUGUAUUGGCAGAGUGCCAUCAACCCAUGGCUCUGGCUGAACUGAUCAUGUAUCUCCUGACAUUUUAUGGCAAGGAUAUAUAUACAGCCACCUGCAGCUGUGCAGAGAAUACCAUCCUGAAGAUGUGAGAAUGGAUGAACAAGAAAACUUUGGACUAUAACUCAUAGCUCAUGGACAUUGUCAUCACCAGUUGCGACCUUUUCAUCUAGCACUAAAUAUUCCUGUAAGAUGUAGCUUGCUUUAGGAGAAGGCAAUUAGAUGUCAACCUCAGUGAAAUCAGAGGAAGUCCAAUGAAGGAAAUCUGUGAGAACAUGGCACUUUAUAGACCCCAACUUAAUUGCACUCAAACCUGGCUUCCAGGCUGAUUUUCAGGUUAAAUCAGGGCUGGAGAAUUCAGCAAGACUUAAGACCAGGAAAAACAGGAAGCAAGGAUGUUAUAGGCAGCAGUGUCAAUUUAAAUUUUCAGUGACUCCAUCCAGAAAGGAUCAAAGGCACCAAAAUGUCAGUCACUACUUCUUUCCAUAUUCCAGUGUAAGUUUUCAUUUCAAGAUUCUUAUGUUCAAUUAUUUAAUUAUAAACUAUUUGUUUUGUAGGAGGAAAUUCUGACAACGGGUUUUCUGGAAGAUUGACCAGAGAAGGAUGUGUUUUAUAGUGCUCUUUCAGAUGCAGAUCAGCAUCUCCUUCCUGCCUGUUUAAGAAUUUUUCUAGUAACUUUGGGAAUUUAUUUUCUUUAAUCUGAGUUUCCUCAGCUCUAAAAUGUGAUUAAUAUGGCUUACCAGCCAUGGUUUUGUUUUGAAUUUAAGGCAUAGAAAAACUUUAUAUAUUUGCAUAUCACAUAACCAAGUUUUAGCAGAAGUCAUCAAAUAAUAUUAAGGUACAUAAAAUAGUAAAAAGUGCUUUAUCUGUAAUUGGUUUUUUGCUUUAUAUCCCCCUAUAUUCAAAGAAAUAAGGUCAGGUGAGAAGCAGGAUAAAAUAUUUUACCUGUUAAUAUAGCAUCACAGCUUCUGAGAUUAAUUGAUUCCUUGUACAUAAAACCUGCAGAAUACAAUUCUUAAGUAGUCUCUGCAAGGAUUCAUCCCUUUUGAGGCUCAGCAAUGUUGGGUAUUAUUAAGGCUUCCUCUGGUCAGAAGGUUUUUUCUAACUUGAACAUCAGGUUGGGUGAAGUUCUGUAGAGUAAGGAUCCAACCUACCACAGCAGGUUUUGCUAAAUACUGUGACCAGACAAGUCUUUCUGACAGUGAUUAAAAAAAAAAAAAAAUUCUAGUGAGUUUGAUGUCUGUCUGUCUGGGUGUCUCCAUGCAGUAUUUCUGUUAUCAGAGAAUUCCCAGAUACAACAGCUUUCCUUGGUGUAUUGCUCAAAAAUAAAUAUGAGUACUAUACAAAUAUAAAAGCUUCAUUACUUUUAAAGGUAACCACAUUACAGCGUAACACCUACAGCAAAGAUAUCAUUUGUUAGCAGAAAUCUCUUGCUAGCCCUGAAAUCUGUAAGAAUCUGAGGUAGCAACAGACCUGAAACUAGAAAGUAAUUUCUACAAAAUGCAGUAAUUGAGCGAUUAGCAGCAGGGACAGAAUUGAUGAACUGGUUAGGACCAGUUUGUGUUUGCCUCCUCUCUCAAAUUACUAAACCGAAUGAGAAGUGCAGAGAAGAAAAACCAAGAUAAAAUAGGGAUCAUCCACACCGUUCAAGACAAUUUUGCAAUUCCCAUCAGAGCAAUUGUAAAACAAGCUACUAAAUAUAAUUUGCACAGGUUUGCUUUUUAUUUUUUGUUUGUUUUUAGGUUUUUUUGGUAAUAGAUCACAUAAUCUUUCAUGUAUCCUUUAGAGGAAUGCAGAGCAUUAACAGGAUUGAGGUGCUGUAUUCUGAUAUGGAAAAUAGGGAGCCGUGUGAAAGAGAAAGUAAGAUCAAAACAAAAUUGUAAUUACUGAUUCUGUUAAAAAUAAAAGCAAACACACACUAUUUAAAUUUCUUAUCCUAGUGAUUACUGGCCAGUAAAAUUUUAUAACCUAAAGGAGAUUUUUUUUUUCAGUACAUCCAGUUUCUUCCCCUUGGCUGUGCUUUUGCUACUAGUCUAAUGCCAAAAGUUUGUAGGUGGCCAUUAUGUAUUAUAAUCACAGAAGUUAUUCCUAUCACAUAAUUACUGAAAUACCCUGAGCACAGAUGUACUUUAAUGAGCCUUUGGGGAAGUGGAUUUAGCUUUCUUCUGUUUCUGAAUGGCUAAAAACCAUUCAUGCACUGCUUGCAGAGUCACUGCUUGCACAUGGACUAUAUUUGCUGGCAGUCCUUGUUUGUGCUAUUUAGAUUUAAAUAAUCACAGUUAUUUCUUCCUUUUGAAGAUGAGUAAAAGGUUUUAAUUUUCCUUAUUUAAUUUACUGAUUUGUUUCACAGAAAUUCAAAGACAAAAGUGUUCUCUGUAAAUACUUUUUUGAGAACUGGUUUUCCUAGAUGAGUAGAACUGCCACAUCUCUCAAGGCAAAUACUGCUUGUUUAGUUUUUAGUGAAACAGCUACUUUGUGGAGUCUCUGUGCCAGUACAUCUGUCUGCGGAAUAAAGCUAUAAAGGAAAUUAGAUCAUCAAAUAUUAGUUAAGUAAGGAAUCAUUACAGCAUCUUUAACUUUUAAAUAUUUUCAUUUAAAGCACCAUAGAUCUUCUGACCCCAGUCUGCUUCUGCAUUUUUCUAUACAUCUUCUAUAAGAAGAAUUUACCUAUGGCUAGAUUACAUAUGAUAUCUAAGACUCCCUUUUCCUUGGUGGUUUAAACAGGAAGUCUGUAUCAAAAAAAUAUUGAGAUUUGUGGUCAACAGUUCUGUGUCCAGUUGGAGACUGGUGAUCAUAGGUGUCCCUCAAGGUGAUGAGUGAUGUCUCUCAGGACUCUGUCUUGAACUCGGGCUGGCUAUAUAUUUAUCAAUUACACAGACAGUGAGGUCAUUUGCAGAUGACAAAACACUGAGAGAUGUAGGGGACAAAAGAGAAGGAAGGAUGCCAGCCAAGAAGAAACCCGGACAAGCUUGAGAAGUGCAUCCACAAGAAUCUCCUGAAAUUCUGCCAGAGCAAGUCCAAGGUACUCCCACACUGGGCUGGGGCAAUACCAGAGAGACUGGGAGAAGAAGACAUUAGGAGAAGUACUUGGGAGUUCUCAUUGAUGAAAAGUUGUACAUGAGACAAAAAUGUGCACUGGCAGCCCAGAAAGCCAGUUUUACCCUGGGCUGCAUCCAAAGCAGGUCAGUGGAGGGGAUUCUGCCCUUCUGUUCCACAUCUGAAGCACUGCAUCCAGCUCUGGGGUCCCAGCACAGGAGAGAUGUAGACUUCUGGGUAUGAGUCCAGAGGAAGACCUUGAAGAUUGCUUGAGCACCUCUGCUGCUAAGAAAUGCUGAGAGAAUUGGAGUUUUCAGUAAGGAGAAGAAAUGCUUUCAGAGAGACCUUAUAGGAGAUUUCUUUACUUACAGGUCUUAUAAAAAAGAGAGAGCAACUUUUUGCACAGGUAAAAUCUAAUAAUAGGAAAACAAGAAUGGUUUUAAACUAAAAGAGUAGAUAUUUAGAUUAGAUGAUAGGAAGAAAUUCUUUACUGU